GACAGAGGGUGCAAACGUUGUUCGGAAUUACUGGGCGUAAAGCGCGUGUAGGCUGCUCUGCAAGUCGGGUGUGAAAGCCCUGGGCUCAACCUAGGAAGUGCACUCGAAACUGCAAAGCUGGAGUCCUGGAGAGGAAGGCGGAAUUCUCGGUGUAGAGGUGAAAUUCGUAGAUAUCGAGAGGAACACCGGUGGCGAAGGCGGCCUUCUGGACAGUGACUGACGCUGAGACGCGAAAGCGUGGGUAGCAAACAGG
rnacentral:rRNA from 1 species